GACAGAGGGUGCAAACGUUGUUCGGAAUUACUGGGCGUAAAGCGCGUGUAGGCUGUCUCGCAAGUCGGGUGUGAAAGCCCUGGGCUCAACCUAGGAAGUGCACUCGAAACUGCGAGACUUGAGUCCUGGAGAGGAAGGCGGAAUUCUCGGUGUAGAGGUGAAAUUCGUAGAUAUUCGCAAGAACACCAGUGGCGAAGGCGGACUCACUGGCC
rnacentral:rRNA from 1 species